rnacentral:ncRNA from 1 species
AUUAAAUAUUAGCAAAGUAUAGGAAACUGUAUGACGCAAAGCUAGAGGGCCUGUAAGAUGGCAGCCAGUUGCACUU